rnacentral:lncRNA from 1 species
AAGAACUCUGGCCGGGUACUCAACAUAGGUUAGGUCGGGCUCGAUCUGAAGCUGCUCUUGCUCUAAGAUCUCGGCUGGGACUUGGACACAUUUCUUCAGUUGAGAUACAUGGAAAACAUCAUGUAUGGCCGAGAGCUGUUCUGGGAGUUGGAUCCGAUAGGCAACUGGUCCACAAAUCUCGACAAUCUCAUAUGGCCAAUGUAACUGGGGGCCAAUUUCCCCUUUACUCCAAACCGUUGCACUCCUUUUGUCGGGGAG